AACUAGAAAAAAUUCGAUUGCAAUAGAGAUCUUGAAUAUAUGAUAUGACAAUGUUUAAAUUUUUAGAUUUGAAUAUGCGAAAGAGAAACACGUGGUUUUAUGUUUUCGUCCCCCCCCAGGCGAGGCGAAACAUGUUCUUUUGCGCUGUCACCACCAAUUCGUGUUUUAACAAAAUUGCCUUCUCCCAUAAUGAUUCUAGUUGACGAUUGGAAAAUGUAAUCAGUAUUUGUGAUGACCUUACAUGACCUUGGCAACAUUUGAGUGUACAUAUGUUAGGUGUGUGUUUGUUUUGUUUUGCAAGACCUUCUCCGAAUUGUGAAAGUUCCUCUCAACCAGAUAACAAAAUCUUCUUUUCAUGAGUGUUUAUGACUGAAAAUGUAACAGAUCUAAGAAAUCUAUCCACAAGUAAAAUAACUUUCGAAACUAUUGUUUUUUAAAUUUA